CAGAGAGGAACGAUCUCGUCUGGAGAUCACCUCUCUUGGUGUUUUCUGGUGAGCUCAGCUGAAGGGUAUACAAGAAUCUAAUCAGCACUGAAAGAUGAAUGAAAGAAAAAAAAUAAAAAGCAAUUCCAGACAGAAGUGGAGAGCCAUUAAGAACUAAAUACUUAAUUUUGUGAUUCUGUAAUUUGUCAUGACCACUAGUAACAAAGGACAGCCUGUAUUCAUAAAUCUCUUAUCAGAGUUAUGUUAACUCUUGCAGGCAGAUUCCAACAUGCCUCUUUCAAAAUGCAAAUAGAUUGUGAUUUGCUACAAGCAAAUGAGGAGGAGAGGAAGACAAGAAGAGUGGGCUUUACCUGACGUGAUGUUUGCUGCUUUCGCUUUUUUGUCAGUGACGUACUUACAUCUCACUGAAAUAUAACAUGUGGAAGUAGCUUUGAUCCUUUUCUUUCUAAUGAUCUGUUCAGUCAGCAACCUUGUCAUGAAAAUGUGUCACUACUGUCUUGUUAAUGCACACCUUAUGAAAGCAAUAUUCUUUGAAUGGAAACAUCAAAGAUGUUCCUUAAUCUACCACAAGGAAAAGUCUCUAUUUUAUGGCCAACACUAAGUACAUAGAGAAAUUGCAAUACUGCACGUCACUGAAAAAAUGCUCUUUGUUAUAGCAUUGCAUAGCUAAAGUCAGCACAAUAUCAUUGCAUUAGUCAUUACCUGGAUAGCCUCAAAGAUACCAUAAAUAAAUAAAAAGUAAUUGUAUCAAUA